AAAUGAAAUCCUCCUCCAGCAGCACAUUUGCAAAUUCCAGAGGGGACAUGAUAUACUAUGGAAGUUGACAUAGAACUCCGCACUUAGGUGGGCGAUUGUUAGCAGUACAGCAUGGUGGUUAAGAACAUGGACUUUGGAGCCAGAUGGCCAAAUCAUGGCCCUACCCUUGUGAAACUGAGGUAAAGAAGAAGGAAGAAAGAAUUUGGAAUGGGUGUUUACUGAGCAAAUUUAUUGUACCUGCCACAGAGAGCUGAGGUGACAGCACAAAAUCAAGUACAAAACAAAGUGGUUGAUUUUAGAUGAUGACUGUAUCAGUGGGACUAUGUAAGUUCAGUACUUGGCAUAGGGCCUGGUUUCUCCUUGUGGAAGGCAGUGGUUCUCCAUCACAAUACCAUUCUUGCCAGCAACCCUUGGCUCCCUAGGUAAUCCAAAGAGCCUGGAUUUCCAUUCAUUUACCUAUGCAACUCUGCAUGAACCUGAAGAACAAUCAUCAAGCGGAUGGAUUCAAACUGCAUCUCCAUGUAUCUAACAUUCAGCAUUGCUAUUUGUUUUAUGUAAGCACUGAACUCAAAAACCUAGUUAUUUAUCCUAAGUAUCCCUAAAUUUCUGCUAAUAAUCAUUUGUGUAUAUGGAUGAGUGAAUCAUAAUUUGUCUCAGCCCUAUUUCUUUUUCAAAUCCAUAUCACCAGUCAUCAAUAAUAAAUAACCAAGUUAGCAGUUUCUAAUGAAUCAAAAAUCCUAUUACAUUCCAUAGUUAAGCCAAAUUAAGAUUCCUUAUGGAAACAAGACUCUCACUGGUU
rnacentral:lncRNA from 10 species